CAGUAGCCGCGGUAAUACGAAGGGUGCAAGCGUUGUCCGGAUUUAUUGGGCGUAAAGCGAGCGCAGGCGGUUCCUUAAGUCUGAUGUGAAAGCCCACGGCUCAACCGUGGAAGGUCAUUGGAAACUGGGGAACUUGAGUGCAGAAGAGGAGAGUGGAAUUCCAUGUGUAGCGGUGAAAUGCGUAGAUAUAUGGAGGAACACCAGUGGCGAAGGCGACUCUCUGGUCUGUAACUGACGCUGAGGCUCGAAAGCGUGGGGAGCAAACAGGAUUAGAUACCCCUGUAGUCCCUGUCUCUUAUAC
rnacentral:rRNA from 1 species